rnacentral:lncRNA from 1 species
UCCACAUCUAUUUUUUUUUUAAAACAAAAGUUUAUUUUAAAAAGGCUCAAUAACUUGACAAAAAUUAAAGCAGAUCUACGCAUAUUUUUCUCUUGACUUGAAAAAGAAAAGGGCGCUGUUUUUUAAGCCAUGAUGGCUGGUUGUAGGAAAGAGGACGGUGACGCUAAUGGCUUCGUAGGUGAGAUGGUUGGUUGUAGGAAAGAGGACGGUGACGCUAAUGGCUUCGUAGGUGAGAUCUAAAUGGGAAAAAUGGAGAGAGGAUGGCGGCGGUGACCGGUGAACGUGGGUUCACCAAAAGGAAAGGAGAAAUAGAAGUGGUAUUGGUUGGUUCCCGAUGAUUUUUGCUGUUUUUGAGAGGAAUUUUCUGGCGGUUUGACCAGGCAGCCCGCUGGGUUGGUUAUCGGCGAGUUUCGUCGAUGGUGUUGGUGAUGGGAAAGGGGAAGGGGUAGCUGGCGAUGGUACGGUGGUCACAGGAGUGGUGGUUAACUGUUUUGAGGGUAGGGAAGGUCGGAACAAUGAUGGGAAAAUGGAGAUCUGCUCUAGUUUCAGGCAACAAUGCCUUUCCCGACAAAGAUUCGCCGGAGCAGUCCCCGGCGUUUCACUUUUCCCUCUUCACUCAAAUUUCAUAUUUUUGAUUUUCAUUUUUUUAGCAAGAUGGAUAUACCGGAUUUAAUGACGAAAUGGUAAUUCCGGCAAAGUUUCGCCGGAAGUUCAGAAUUAUGCGAACUAAUUUGGCUCUCGUUAAUCUCUGAUUUUUCUAUUUCCACGUAGUAUGUAUGGUGUAUAAAUAAAAUGGAGGCCUAUGUACACAAAUGUGUGUAACAGUGUAUGUGAAAGUCUUAUAUUCUUAGUGAUGGAUGAAAGUGUAUGUGAACGUGUGCAUUAUUGGUGAAUGUG